GUGCUGACUUCAGCAGCACAUAUACUAAAAUAGAACAAUGCAGAGAAGAUUAGCAUGGCCCCUGCCCAAGGAUGAUAAGCAAAUUCGUGAAACAUUCCAAAUUUUU
ensembl:snRNA U6 U6 spliceosomal RNA